rnacentral:rRNA from 1 species
GAUGAACGCUAGCGGCAGGCUUAAUACAUGCAAGUCGAGGGGCAGCAUGAUUGUAGCAAUACAAUUGAUGGCGACCGGCAAACGGGUGCGGAACACGUACACAACCUUCCAACAAGUGGGGGAUAGCCCAGAGAAAUUUGGAUUAAUACCCCGUAACAUAGCGAUGUGGCAUCACAUUGCUAUUAUAGAUUUUUCGCUUGUUGAUGGGUGUGCGGAUUCUUAGAUAGUUGGCGGGGUAACGGCCCACCAAGUCUACGAUCAGUAGCUGAUGUGAGAGCAAGAUCAGCCACACGGGCACAGAGACACGGGCCCGACUCCUACGGGAGGAAGCAGUAAGGAAUAUUGGACAAUGGACGCAAGACUGAUCCAGCCAUGCCGCGUGAAGGAUUAAGGUCCUCUGGAUUGUAAACUUCUUUUAUAAGGGACGAAAAAAGGCUUUUCUAAGUCGUCUGACGGUACCUUAUGAAUAAGCACCGGCUAACUCCGUGCCAGCAGCCGCCGUAAUAC